GCCGAUGAUACAUCCUCGCUCUCACGAUUUCCGGUAAGUUUCCUUGCUGGAUUCGAGCCUCCCUUGGCCCCAACGAUCUGGGCCGGAGCUCGCGAUAUUGCGUGCCAGAUUUUUUGAGCUUCCGAGUUUUGUGCUCACCAUCGUCUCGAUCGGCGGUUUGCCGCUUGUGUGGCAGGUAACCAGGACAGUCGAAGUGAGGAACCUGUCAAAUCUUAGCCA
rnacentral:lncRNA from 1 species